GACGAACGCUGGCGGCGUGCUUAACACAUGCAAGUCGAACGGUGAAGCGAGUGCUUGCACUCGUGGAUCAGUGGCGAACGGGUGAGUAACACGUGAGUAACCUGCCCAUCACUCUGGGAUAAGCACUGGAAACGGUGUCUAAUACUGGAUACGACCAACCCUUGCAUGGGGUGUUGGUGGAAAGAUUUAUCGGUGAUGGAUGGACUCGCGGCCUAUCAGCUUGUUGGCGGGGUAAUGGCCCACCAAGGCGACGACGGGUAGCCGGCCUGAGAGGGUGACCGGCCACACUGGGACUGAGAAACGGCCCAGACUCCUACGGGAGGCAGCAGUGGGGAAUAUUGCACAAUGGGCGAAAGCCUGAUGCAGCGACGCCGCGUGAGGGAUGACGGCCUUCGGGUUGUAAACCUCUUUCAGCAGGGAAGAAGCGAAAGUGACGGUACCUGCAGAAGAAGCACCGGCUAACUACGUG
rnacentral:rRNA from 1 species